UACGUAGGGUGCGAGCGUUAAUCGGAAUUACUGGGCGUAAAGCGUGCGCAGGCGGUUUGGUAAGUCAGAUGUGAAAGCCCCGGGCUUAACCUGGGAAUGGCAUUUGGGACUGCAAGGCUUGAGUGCGGCAGAGGAGACUGGAAUUCCUGGUGUAGCAGUGAAAUGCGUAGAUAUCAGAAGGAAUACCGAUGGCGAAGGCAGGUCUCUGGGCUGACACUGACGCUCAUGCACGAAAGCGUGGGGAGCAAACAGG
rnacentral:rRNA from 1 species